GAUGAAGAACGCAGCGAAAUGCGAUACGUAAUGUGAAUUGCAGAAUUCAGUGAAUCAUCGAAUCUUUGAACGCAUAUUGCGCUCUCUGGUAUUCCGGAGAGCAUGCUUGUUUGAGUAUCAGUAAACACCUCAACUUCCAUAUCUUUUUUGAAAUGGGAGUUGGACUUGAGUGAUCCCAACGCUUUUCCUCACCGAAAAGUGGCGGGUUACUUGAAAUGCAGGUGCAGCUAGACUUUUCUCUGAGCUAUAAGCAUAUCUAUUUAGUCUGCCUAAAAAACAGAUUAUUACCUUUGCUGCAGCUAACAUAAAGGAGAUUAGUUCUUGUGCUGACUGAUGCAGGAUUCACAAAGACGGCUUCGGCCGACUUUGUAAACUCGAUCUCAAAUCAAGUAAGACUACCCGCUGAACUUAAGCAUAUCAAUAAGCGGAGGA
rnacentral:misc_RNA from 1 species